AAGGCCUGCCGCUGGUGCUGCCACAGUGUGCACUCUGGGCCAGCCCCUCACCCAACCCUUCCCAGGAUCUCUUCAAGAGUCAGCUCAAAUUCUAUGCAGAGGCCUUCACUGGUUCCUCAGAUCCCACCCCCAAGCAGAUAGUUCUAUCCUUUCUGAAGAUAUUUAUUUAUGUAUCUAGUCUCCCAAAUUCAUCAAAGCCAGCAGGAUGACCUUGGAAAACAGUAAUACUCUCAAAUAGCUCUCUGACACAAAGAUGAAGAUUCAUUUGCAGACAUGAAGAGUUCAAAAGAAUUGCCUGAAUCUUAAUCCUAAGGCCCUCUGCUCACUUUUUCAAAGAGUCUUAUGUGGGUGCCAUAGCUCAGCUAUGUGGUCUUUGGUUAAAAGCAGGUAUCCUGUCCUUGACUGAGAGAAGAUUUUUGGUCAUUUCACCUUGACAUAAAGGAGAAGGUAUAUCCAGAAGAUGGUCCUGAAGCCCAUAACUGAUCAAAAGAGAAAAGCUUCACAACUAUAUGUCCAGGGUAUCAAUGCUUAAAGAGACCAAUAAACCCAACCCAAAAAGAUUAUAAUCAUGGGAAGGGUGGAGCCUCUCAGGGUGGGGGGGAGUAUAAUUUUAUUGCCUGAAAACAUCAGUAGCUUUCCAUUGUCAGAUUCCCGUCCCCCUUCCUAUAUGUGCCUUGGACCCAAUUCUUUCCUGAUUGUGUGAUCUCCCAGAUAUGUACCCUGGCCACAUAGUUUCUACACAUGUUCCCCUUUAAUAUGUAUUUCUUAGUCACAUCUACUCUCUCACCGAUGAUUAUAUUUGUG